rnacentral:lncRNA from 1 species
UGAAUUCUACAGAUAUUUUUAAAGAAAAAUCAAAACAUUUACAGUCUUGUAAAUUUUAAUAUCCCUAAUAGCUUGGAAUUGUAGUUAUAGCUGCCACUUCACUUCAAAAGAAAGAACUGACAAACUAAAAAGAAGAGUGGAAGUCAGGGCUGGGCGCCAUCUUGGGGAGACAGUCACAGGGGUUUGGGAAGCUUCAGAAGGCUAAUAGCCCAGGGAUGUUUCCACUUCCUGAGUUCCAUCCUUAUCUUUCCUGACUCUCAGGGGCUAUAAUUCGGAGGCUGCAUUCCACAAAAGAAUCCUAAAUCCCCAUGAGUAACUCUGAAAUGCCGUGCCUUUGAAUAGAGCUGAGGCCAGGGUAAACAUAUGGCCCAGUUUCAGGAUACUGGCUAGCUCCUGGGAAGAAGGAAAAAGAAAAGAUGGGCUUUGGCUGUACUGAUGGUCCCAAGGAGAACUUAAUUGAGACGACUGGAGAAACAGGUAAUGUAAAAAGAGAAAAAUAAUUUUGUUUUUCUUGUGGGUUUUUUAAAACGGUGACACCAGCUGAGUUUGAUUAAUUUGCUUCAAGGACAAAAAGUUCAUUGAAAACAGCAGAGA